CUCUCUCUCUCAGGAAGGUUUGAUACAGAGUAGCAAUUACAACCAGAGGUUACAAGCGAAUUGGGGAAGAACUGGAGGUAGGGGGAAGAGAGGAAGGUAGCCACCGCCGAGCCAUCCGUGAUCCACUAGAUGGCUCGUCCAGUGCCUUGGUCCUGCUAUGUAUAGUGGUUGUGGCUGUAGCACUUGUGGCAGCAAGUCAGCUGGGCCUAGCCCAUAGCCGGCCCAGGGUAGCAGGGGUGCUGACAUCCCCUCCCCCUUAACAGCCGGCUUGCCCCCAAGCCGGUGCCAGUUCUCCGUUGCAAGCCUUGAACAUUUUGUAAAGUGCACUCCUCCUGGAUCCCAUUGCUCAUAAGAAGAUGCCGACAAAACGAAUUUUACUGCAGGUUGUUCAAUGCUUUGUACUCCAUUGUUGAACACCUCAGACAUGCAGCAUGGGAACCUCAACGAAUCUGAUAGAAGUAAGUUGAUGAAGCACCAGCUAUGUUCAACAAACUGAACCAACAGAAGAACCAUAUCACCUGGAUCCCAUGAUAUCAGCACUGCUUGCUGAACCACGAGGUACAACCAAAAGCUCUUGGUGGUUUUAGAAUGAGGAAUUGUUUGCAGUAUUCGUAGAGCAUCGAUAAGAACUGCUUGGUCACCCGGGUCCCAAGAAAUACUCCAACAAAGUUUAGCACCAUCAAGCCAACAACAUAUUCCAUUGCCAGGAUCCCAUGGCAUUACCAGCAGCAUACAAAAGGUGACUCUGCUUGUCGCAAGGUGAUUCAUACCAACGGGAUAUAGAUUGUUACCUGGAUCCCAAGGAAGAAUCAAGACCCGGUGAUGAGUAACUAUACAUGCCUCCCACGAACUACCAAGAAUAAUAUUCCAGAUUGUUCGUGAUGGUAAGAAUGGUCGCUCCCAUGUGCAAGCUCUGCUAGAGUGCCCAGACUUGAGAAACCAAGCUCGAGAGAAUGGCAGCCAGGCGAUUUGCAAGUCAAAUUGCUCAAAAAUCAGCAGUACCGAGUUAGAGCAAUAUUGAAACUGGGCUACUGAACAAGUGCUCGCCAUAUAAAUACAUGUUGCGUUGCUUGCCAUAAUAAGUAGGCCACCACUGUGCGCAUGAAGGAAGCUGAAAAUGAAAUUAACACCAUACAUUGUAUCAUCUUGCGAAGUGAUUCCCGUCAAUUUUCUCCUGAUCCAAGUGUCAAAAAUGUAGCAGUACCAAGCUUCACAUGCAUAAUUAUCUCUGAAUAGUAGCUUCACUGACCAAAGAUCGAAACCUGAUUGUUGUUCACCUAGUGUAGACCCAUGUGUAUGUGCAGGUAGUCUCCAUAGUUGCAGCUGUACAUAUUGCAAAUAACUGAAGUGUUCUUGCAUGGAAACCCGCUCACAGCCAUCAGGGAAGAUCCUUCUCAUCCCAGCAAUCAAGGUAGGUUGUUUCCGGAACAUGCUAGCAGUGCCAAAGUGAGUGGCAAGAACAGUACCAAAAUGGCUUGAAAUGUUGCUCAUGUAAGUACCAAGCAAUGACUGCCUCACGCGGAAAGUCGCUGGCUGCAGUCCCACUGUUGUCACCUCUAUUUUCAGCAUCUGCGCAGUCUUAAGGGUGGAUUGAGCAUCAUUGAGAUCUUGCAAAACAAGAACGCACCCCGUAGAAAAACAAGAGUGAUGUUGUUUGGAAGUGAUGGUAAGCUUGACAUGCUUAAUAAAAUCUGAAUCAUCACUGUCAUGCUUCAAGGACCACAAAUGCAAGAACUGGUUGGUGAGUAUCCCUCCGAAGCGUCCACUGAAAUUGUACUGCCGCAGCCAUGGUUUGUACACAAAAUCUCCUGCAGUUGAACCUGUAGUUGCAAACACCACCGAGUUAAUCUGUAACUCCACGCGGCCGCUCCCUGUAAAAUCCUCUUGAAACCAAAACUGGCAAUGCACUGACAUGCCCAUAAUUAGCAGCUGUGUUCUCAGAACGGAGUGGCCAUGCAACUCCCCAUAGGAAUUUGUUUGAGCACUUACGGGAAACAGACGGAGUGAUGAAUUCCCUUCUCUUCCGUCGCUGCUCAGUGGAAACCCAGAAACUAAGCUGCCCAAAAUGAUCUGGUCGUCGCUCAAUGGAUGAGUGAGUUGAAAAUUCCCAGAAGGCCAUGGUUGAAGUAACAAUUGGAGUUUGCAACUCAGUAUGAAUCCUCCUUGGUUGGUGAUCAGGUGGCCACCAUACACAGCCAGCGUCACUAGUGAAAAAUCCGCAAACAAUGCCACGGAAUAGAACAAUGUCAUCCUUUGCACACUGCACUUGAACAGGGGGCGGCCACUGUCGCGGCUCAGUUCCUUUCCGCAAUGGUGGCAGCAGCAAGCCUGUGCACUCACCCACGAGAUGAACGCCAUGUGGGCAAUGCUCUUUGCGUGCAGUUGGGUGCACCGGGUCGUCGCCAUGGACAAUGUAAUAUGUCAAACACAUGGUCAGCGUUGGUGCAGAGAAGUCGCUGGGGAUGAUGAGGACGACGCCAUGGUUCGCCUUGCUCAUCACUUGCGUGGAGGUGUUAACAGACAGGGCAUCGAGCUCCUGCACGCCGGCCUUGGGGUCGAUGUCGGUGGUGGUCGUCACGGGAGAAACGGCCUCAACACUAGAAGUUGUUGCCUGCCCCGGAGUGAGCUGCUCGACUGCUUGGUGGAUGGGGUCGACCGUGGGCUCGAGGUGGAUAGCGGUGGCGGCAUCAUGGACCUCGUCGACGUUGUCGGCCUGGGUCGAGCACUCCGUCGAACAGGUGACGGGCACCAUCGCGACGCAGACCGGGGCAGCAUCAUGGGCGACCAUGGGGAUCUCCUGGGCCUUGAUGGUGGAGCUGGGGACGUCGGGGACGAGCGCCGACGAGGCAUGCGUCAUGGUUGAGGCCGCCGGAUCGACAAGCGGAGUGACCAUGGGAGGGUCACACACCCGUGCAAUCCCCAACAGUGAGCUCACCUCCUCCGCCUGAGCGCAUAAUCUCUUGAGAUACCACAAUAACUGCUCCUUGGCAGACAUGGCAUCCCACUCUGGUGGUUUGACUGUGGGCAUGGCGUCCUCACCGGUGGAAUCGGAGGGAUUGGGAGUGGUAGAAAAAUUGGGGGAAAUUUGAGGGAGAAGGGUGGUGGCCUGGCUCUGUAUACCAGAUGUAAGGGACUAGCUGUAGUCUUGCUAGUAAUCUCUCUCUCUCAGGAAGGUUUGAUACAGAGUAGCAAUUACAACCAGAGGUUACAAGCGAAUUGGGGAAGAACUGGAGGUAGGGGGAAGAGAGGAAGGUAGCCGCCGCCGAGCCGUCCGUGAUCCACUGGAUGGCUCGUCCAGUGCCUUGGUCCUGCUAUGUAUAGUGGUUGUGGCUGUAGCACUUGUGGCAGCAAGUCAGCUGGGCCUAGCCCAUAGCCGGCCCAGGGUAGCAGGGGUGCUGACA
rnacentral:lncRNA from 1 species